rnacentral:misc_RNA from 1 species
CAAGUGACCCCGGUCUAACCACCGGGAUGUUCAUAACCCUUUGUUGUCCGACUCUGUUGCCUCCGGGGCGACCCUGCCUUCGGGCGGGGGCUCCGGGUGGACACUUCAAACUCUUGCGUAACUUUGCAGUCUGAGUAAACUUAAUUAAUAAUUA